AGCUUGAAGUAAAUUUAUUUUAGGUUAGUCCUGCUCACUGAUUUAGUUAAAGAGCCGCAGUAAUUUAACUGUGCAAAGGUAGCGUAAUCAUUAGUUUUUUAAUUGAGGACUUGUAUCAAGGGAUUUUUCUCUUUUAGCUGUGUCUGCUAAAUUUUUAUGAAUUUAUAUUUAUAAGGUGAAAAUUCCUUUUUAAAAAGAAAAGACGAGAAGACCCCAGGAGCUUAUUUUAUUUUUUAUAUACUAAAAGUAAGAUUUUGUUGGGGCAACAAAUAAUGUUAACAUUAAUUUAUUUAUAUUAUAUGUCUUUAUUAUUAGUAAAAUUUAAGUUACCCUGGGGAUAACAGCAUAAUUUUAUAUUGAGUUUGUGACCUCGAUGUUGGACUAGGUAAUUUUUGGUUCAGAAAGCUAGAAAGAAAGUUCUGUUCGAACUGUGAUACCUACAU
rnacentral:rRNA from 1 species